GCACUGCUGAGUAGUCCCAUAAUAGGACGAAACGGCCUUCCAGUGC
rfam:Schistosoma rodhaini strain Burundi genome assembly, scaffold: SROB_scaffold0002823